AUUGAACGCUGGCGGCAGGCCUAACACAUGCAAGUCGAGCGGAGCGGCGGACGGGUGAGUAAUGCCUAGGAAUCUGCCUGGUAGUGGGGGAUAACGUCCGGAAACGGGCGCUAAUACCGCAUACUAUCAGAUGAGCCUAGGUCGGAUUAGCUAGUUGGUGGGGGAAAGGCCUACCAGUGCGACGAGCCGUAACUGGUCUGAGAGGAUGAUCAGGCACACUGGAACUGAGACACGGUCCAGACUCCUACGGGAGGAAGCAGUGGGGAAUUGUGGACAAUGGGCGAAAGCCUGAGCCAGCCAUGCCGCGUGUGUGAAGAAGGUCUUCGGAUUGUAAAGCACGUUAAGUUGGGAGGCGUUACCAACAGAAUAAGCACCGGCUAACUUCGUGCCAGCCGCCGCGGUAAUUC
rnacentral:rRNA from 1 species